rnacentral:rRNA from 1 species
UGGGGAAUAUUGCACAAUGGGCGCAAGCCUGAUGCAGCAACGCCGCGUGAACGAUGAAGGUCUUCGGAUCGUAAAGUUCUGUUGCAGGGGAAGAUAAUGACGGUACCCUGUGAGGAAGCCCCGGCUAACUACGUGCCAGCAGCCGCGGUAAUACGUAGGGGGCUAGCGUUAUCCGGAUUUACUGGGCGUAAAGGGUGCGCAGGUGGUCUUUCAAGUCGGUGGUUAAAGGCUACGGCUCAACCGUAGUUAGCCUCCGAAACUGGAAGACUUGAGUGCAGGAGAGGAAAGUGGAAUUCCCAGUGUAGCGGUGAAAUGCGUAGAUAUUGGGAGGAACACCAGUAGCGAAGGCGGCUUUCUGGACUGCAACUGACACUGAGGCACGAAAGCGUGGGUAGCAAACAGG